UCAGGAUGAACGCUAGCUACAGGCUUAACACAUAGCAAGUCGAGGGUAGCAGGUAGCAAUACCGCUGACGACCGGCGCACGGUGAGUAACACGUAUCCAACCUUCCCAUAACUCAGGGAUAGCCUUUCGAAAGAAAGAUUAAUACCUGAUAGUACUUUUUCAAGGCAUCUUGAGAAAGUUAAAGAUUUAUUGGUUAUGGAUGGGGAUGCGUUCCAUUAGAUAGUUGGUGAGGUAACGGCUCACCAAGUCUUCGAUGGAUAGGGGUUCUGAGAGGAAGGUCCCCCACAUUGGUACUGAGACACGGACCAAACUCCUACGGGAGGCAGCAGUGAGGAAUAUUGGUCAAUGGGCGAGAGCCUGAACCAGCCAAGUAGCGUGAAGGAUGAAGGUCCUAUGGAUUGUAAACUUCUUUUAUAGUAGAAUAAAGUGAUCCACGUGUGGAUUUUUGUAUGUAUACUAUGAAUAAGGAUCGGCUAACUCCGUGCCAGCCGCAGC
rnacentral:rRNA from 1 species